UAGUCCACGCCGUAAACGAUGAGUGCUAGAUAUCGGGAGUUUUACUUUCGGUUUCGCAGCUAACGCAUUAAGCACUCCGCCUGGGGAGUACGAUCGCAAGAUUAAAACUCAAAGGAAUUGACGGGGGCUCGCACAAGCGGUGGAGCAUGCGGUUUAAUUCGAUGCUACGCGAUAAACCUUACCAACCCUUGACAUGGUGAUCGCAGGGAUCAGAGAUGAACCCUUUCAGUUCGGCUGGAUCACACACAGGUGUUGCAUGGCUGUCGUCAGCUCGUGUCGUGAGAUGUUGGGUUAAGUCCCGCAACGAGCGCAACCCCCAUCCUUAUUUGCCAGCGGUUCGGCCGGGGACUAUAAGGAAACUGCCGGUGAUAAACCGGAGGAAGGUGGGGACGAUGUCAAGUCAUCAUGGCCCUUACGGGGUUGGGGCUACACGCGUGCUACAAUGGUAAUUACAGAGGGGAAGCAAUACAGCGAUGUGGGAGC
rnacentral:rRNA from 1 species